AUACGGAGGGUGCAAGCGUUACGCGGAAUCACUGGGCGUAAAGCGCGCGCAGGCGGCCAUUUAAGUUGGAUGUGAAAGCCUACGGCUCAACCGUAGAACUGCAUCCAAAACUAUUUGGCUAGAGUGUGGGAGAGGAAGAUGGAAUUAGUUGUGUAGGGGUAAAAUCCGUAGAGAUAACUAGGAAUACCAAAAGCGAAGGCAAUCUUCUGGAACAUUACUGACGCUGAGGCGCGAAAGCGUGGGGAGCAAACAGGAUUAGAUACCCCAGUAGUCC
rnacentral:rRNA from 1 species